GCCUCUGUAGCUCAGUUGGUUAGAGCACUGCACCGGAAUCGCAGGGCCGUAGGUUCCUACCAGAGGAC